AUUGAACGCUGGCGGAAUGCUUUACACAUGCAAGUCGAACGGCGGCACGGACUUCGGUCUGGUGGCGAGUGGCGAACGGGUGAGUAAUGUAUCGGAACGUGCCCAGUCGUGGGGGAUAACGUAGUGAAAAUUACGCUAAUACCGCAUACGAUCUAUGGAUGAAAGCGGGGGAUCGCAAGACCUCGCGCGAUUGGAGCGGCCGAUAUCAGAUUAGGUAGUUGGUGGGGUAAAGGCCCACCAAGCCAACGAUCUGUAGCUGGUCUGAGAGGACGACCAGCCACACUGGAACUGAGACACGGUCCAGACUCCUACGGGAGGCAGCAGUGAGGAAUUUUGGACAAUGGGCGAAAGCCUGAUCCAGCCAUUCCGCGUGCAGGAUGAAGGCCCUCGGGUUGUAAACUGCUUUUGUACAGAACGAAAAGGUUUCUACUAAUACUAGGAGCUCAUGACGGUACUGUAAGAAUAAGCACCGGCUAACUACGUGCCAGCCGCCGCGGUAA
rnacentral:rRNA from 1 species